GAAACGCACGUGGUGCACAGUGCUCCGCACAGACAAUCAAAUACUUGACGGGGUCAAUCCAACGCCAUAUUGAAUGCCUGUGCCAAAGAGCAAUGCAUGCACAUAGCUGUGGAGCCAGUGAGGGUCCUGGCAGUCCCUGCCCCAGUCAGACCUCCCAUUCUGGAGCCGUUUCCUCUGCCUUCGCCCGGCUCCUGGAUUUGACGUGUGCCAUGAUCGGAAACUAGUGGAGGGAGAAAAACACAGCUCCUGGCAUGUUGAACCGAUCUGUGGUGUGGGAUGCCUGUUACUUGAGGAGACUCAAAAUGGCUGUCUGUGUCAGCAGUGUCACAUGCUGAUGAAGACUGAAUCACACUGGGUCUAGCUGUUGACGUAAUGCAGUGUGCUGUAUUGGAAAAGGUCUGGUAAACAUGUCUGUUGCCAUCUUCUGCAUGCAAGAUACUGACAUAGUCACCUGUCACUAUCCCUUUCCUGAUUAAAACAUGCUGUGAACACUUGUAUCAAAAUAUGGUAUAUAUGCAGUAGGCACUGUAUAUUGAAGUGCAUUUCUUUUUUUUUUCAUUGUGACAUCAGUAAUGUUAAUUACCUGUGUGUUUUUGGAUUUGGUGUUGUAAUGCUGAGGGCAUAUCUUAAAGGCUUUGACAUCCAUGUCUGUGCCUUUUUUCUGACAUCCUUUUAUUUUUCCUCAUGAAUAAACUGAUUAACAUGGCAAUGAGUCAUUAAUAUGCUAAUUACAAACAAUCUACAUAUUUUAUUCAUAACUGUGCCAUAGACUCAUUUGUCUCCAGAUUACAAAGGCAAAGCAAGGAUAAAUCACUUCCAUUUUGAUGUUGUAUAAUGUAACAUUAUGAUUGCAAUUUAUUUACGCAG